rnacentral:rRNA from 1 species
GACGAACGCUGGCGGCGUGCUUAACACAUGCAAGUCGAACGGAAAGGCCCUGCUUUUGUGGGGUGCUCGAGUGGCGAACGGGUGAGUAACACGUGAGUAACCUGCCCUUGACUUUGGGAUAACUUCAGGAAACUGGGGCUAAUACCGGAUAGGAGCUCCUGCUGCAUGGUGGGGGUUGGAAAGUUUCGGCGGUUGGGGAUGGACUCGCGGCUUAUCAGCUUGUUGGUGGGGUAGUGGCUUACCAAGGCUUUGACGGGUAGCCGGCCUGAGAGGGUGACCGGCCACAUUGGGACUGAGAGACGGCCCAGACUCCUACGGGAGGCAGCAGGGGGGAAUAUGGCACAAUGGGCGGAAGCCUGAUGCAGCAACGCCGCGUGCGGGAUGACGGCCUUCGGGUUGUAAACCGCUUUCGCCUGUGACGAAGCGUGAGUGACGGUAAUGGGUAAAGAAGCACCGGCUAACUACGUG